rnacentral:lncRNA from 10 species
GUCCCCUUGGUCGCACCCCCGGCCGUUCCCGACCUUGCAUUCCCACGCAGUUUCCCUGCCUUCUCUGUGCAGCCAAAAGGGACAAAUGCACAAACUGCAAGCUGGCACACCAGGUGAAAGGAGCGGCUGCGCCUGCAGAGGUUCUGGGACCCAGGCUACUGGUGGCCUUUCCUGCACCAGCCCCGCAGCACCUAGCUCCUACCUGGACAUUUCUCCUACUGUGUCCAGAAUUGGUGGGUUCUUGGUCUGGCCGACUUCAAGAAUGAAACCACGGAUGCUCAUGAGUACAGAUAAAAAGGAAGGCUUGAUCAGGAUAUGGUGGAUCUGAAGAUUCAAAGAAGUGCCAUGGCUCAAAAGUAGACAUUUUGGUAAAUGUGAAGAAGUGAGAUUCAAUGAAGAUGAUAAGAAAUGAAAGGUGUUACCAAAAGUGGGAACCCCCCCGCCGGGAAGAUGAAGCUCCCUGGAAGAGGCUUCUUGGACAUGACCAUCUCCAGGAACCAGCGGGCAACCUUCAUGUGUGUGUGACCAGACCUCCAGCUAUAAGCAUGGCAUGCAGUACAGAAGAGCCUGCUAUGAAACUGAAAUUGAUUGGACAUUUUAUAGGAAUUGAUAGAGAUGAUGGUCUUCAAAAGCUUUAAAUCUGUGAUCUGCAAAAUAAAAUGUGUUGGAAACCUCUGGCCAAAAUUUUUUUUUCUUCUACUAUAUUUGGAAUAUUUUUCUUCCAUUGUUAAGUACACAUAUGUAUUGUACAAAAUGUCCAGGAAAAUGCCAUACAAUAAU